CAAGAGGGUCAACAUGCAAACUCCACACAGAAAGGCACCAGCCUGUCUGGGGAUUUGAACCAGGAACCUUUUUUGAUCUGAAGCAACAGCACUAACCACUUUACCAACGCGCUGCCACUUUAAUUCAGUGCAAAAAUAAAAUGUUUUUAAAAAUUAUCCUGAAAACUUUAUUUAUAGGAACAAAGAUUUGACCUGCAGAGCCCAGAAGAGGACUCUACUUUUUGAAGCGAGGAGAGUUUGGGUUCUGCAGGAUCUGGAUGCGGUCUCCUCAAAGGGAAGAUGACUGAACAGACCUUCGGGACACUGAAUCCUUCACUCAGCAGAGACGCAGGAGUCUGUCUGUCUGUCUGCAGGUAGAAUCUCAGCUCAGACACAUUCUGCUUUUGAGGAUCAAGGUGUGAAAAAUCGUCCCUAUUGUCCGACUAUUUGCCAAGAAGUUCUCACAAACAUCUGCAGGAGGUGAAACUUGGGCCAAAAAGAGAAGUCUCUGAAGGACGGCGGUGAGAGCUCUGAAGGACCUUCUCUGGAGGAAAGAGGAGGAAGGAAGCGUGUUCAGCGUUUCUCCAUCUGUCGCUCGGACACCAGAGAACACAAAGACGGAGGAGAGGGAGUCAGUCCGUGAAGAGAGGAGGGCAGUGAUGAUUCAAACUAAACCUGCAGCCCACUGCAGGUAUUCAAGCUCCCUGGACUCAAAUCAAGCUUAAAGGAUAAUUCCAGGGUUUUAAAAGUGCAGAUUUCCUGUCUGUAAUAAUCACAUUAAACUCGAGGUUAAUGACUGAGAUCGGGGAAUGUGGUGACGCUGCUGAAAAGACUCACUUCAGCACUCGCUUUCAGAUUAACCCCUGAGUACAGUGGUUUGGAGAAACUCAGAUAAAGUGUUUCCAACCUGU